rnacentral:tRNA from 1 species
GCCAGCAUGGUGUAGUGGUUGAGCAUUGGACUGCAACUCUGUGGAUCAGGGUUCAAAUCCCUGCUCAGCCA